rnacentral:rRNA from 1 species
GACGAACGCUGGCGGCGUGCUUAACACAUGCAAGUCGAACGCUGAAGCUCAGCUUGCUGGGUGGAUGAGUGGCGAACGGGUGAGUAACACGUGAGUAACCUGCCCUCUUCUUUGGGAUAACGCACGGAAACGGGUGCUAAUACUGGAUAUUCACUGAUUCUCGCAUGGGGGUUGGUGGAAAGGUUUUGUCUGGUGGGGGAUGGGCUCGCGGCCUAUCAGCUUGUUGGUGGGGUGAUGGCCUACCAAGGCUUCGACGGGUAGCCGGCCGGUGAGGGUGACCGCUCGCAUUGGGACUGGGUUCCGGCCCAGACGCCUACGGGCGGCAGCAGUGGGGCAGAUUGCACCGUGGGCGUAAGGCUGAUGCAGCGACGCCGCGUGGGGGAUGGAGGCCUUCGGGUUGUAUACCUCUUUCGCUCAUGGUCAGGCCGCAGCUUUGUGUUGUGGUGGGGGUAGUGUGUAAAGAAGCGCCGGCUAACUACGUG